rnacentral:lncRNA from 1 species
ACUACCCAGAAAAUUUUAUUUUAAAUGAAUUCUAGACCAUCAAUUUUUUUUUACUAUUGCUUUAUUUAGAAAAUAGGAAACAAUGGAUUGAGAAAAAUUACUGCCCUUGGUAUUAGAUACUGUAAAGAGUAGACUAUACUCCCGAUAUUUUCAAUUUGACGUCUAUUACUGAAGAAUAAAAUAGCAAUAUGGUUUCAUUUGUUAGAAAAAACUCUUAUCUGUCAACAUUCGCUACAGUAUUUUGACAUUAGGGAAUUUCCGAUGUGGUUUACUGGAAUAGAUCCAUCACCAGAUAGCAUUCCUUUGUGGUGUAAGCAUUCCUGGAUUCUAUCCAAGUGGCCAUGGUAUAGUUUCUCGCAGACAUCCAUAAAAACUGUAGUAAAUUGGCAGACAAAAACAAAUACGGGCAUUACUAUGAUAGAUGAAACACUUUGUAACUCAUCAGGAAUUUGCAUGAUUUUUUUUAAGUUUUUAACCUGCUAUUUUCUGCUGAAUUGCUCUACUCUUUCCUAAUAGUUUCGAAUGACGUUUUUUUUAUUAUUAUUUUGAGACUGUGAAUCGAAGUUAAAUUUAAACGGGAAUCAUUGCUUUUGAAUGAGAAAAUUAUACUUAGUCCAAAAACUGUUAUUGACCCUAUUUAGAGCAGGAAAAUCGGUAACUAUAAUUAUAGUAGUCAUUGAAAAGGGAUUUUUAGUAUAAUGCCUGCCCUAUUCCCAGUUAAGAAUUCGGUACAUAAAUAUGGGAGCAGGAAGUUAAAAUAUCGUCGCUCCAGAAUAAAUUGCUGUAAUUCUUUUAUCACGAUUUUGAAUUUUUAUAGAGUAUUUUAAAUAAAUCAGAAAUUUAGUAACUUUUUUUUUUUUAAAUGAAGUUAAGAUUAAAUUUCAGAAUUAAAUGAAAAUCUUAAUAAUAAUUUUAAAAACUAAAGCUUUACUGGAAUGCCAAGUGCAGAAUACUGUUAGUAGUUCGUGUUACUUCUUGGAAAUACUUUGCAGUUAUUUUCUGGAAUAUGAGGUUUAAAUAUGAUACUUUAGAUAAAUAUUCGAAUAAGGCAAAUAAACACAAAUAUUUGUGUGUGUAUAAACUAAUAUUAGUAAAUUUGGCGCACAUAUAAUUCAACUUUAUCAUCGUUAU